GUGCAUAGCCUUGUGCUGGGUACUGACAGUCCUCUUCUGGAUGUACUUCGGACUGUACUACUUCCUCGACAAGUUCGCCGGCGACACGUGCGCGGCCCUCGAGGAGUACAAGCUGAACCCCAAGAACAGCAUGCUGGGCGCCAUCAUACCCUGCAGCGAGAAGAUGUCCGGCAGCGUCAUCCUGCACGAUGUUGGUGCAGGCAUACACGACAUCAUAGACCAGUUUUUGCCAUGUAAACUCAGGUAAACAAACAAGCAGCUCAGCCGCAGCAAAUGCUUCCAGGAACCAAAGCGUCUGAAGCGGAAAUCUGAUCUUGACGACAUGGCACUGAUUGUUCUUGCGCUGUUGUUGUGAAGAUCCUGCGGAGGCUGACGUGCUCGGAGUUGGGCGGUGGCGCCAACUGUGCGCCGGCCGACCUCUCGUCGGCGAUCGACUACGACAAGGUGCAGACGUACACGAGCUCCAUCCAGAACGUGCUGGACAUCUUCCCGGGCACGGAGCGGCUGGUGAGCUGCGAGCUGGUGAAGGCCGGCUUCGCGGACAUCGUGGGCAACCAGUGCGCGCCGCUGCGGCGCGGCGCGCGGGCGACGUGGGCCGCGCUCGCCGCCCUGUCGACGGCCAUGGCACUGCUCGUGCUCGCCUCGGUGGCGUGCGGCGGCGUUGGGGGGUCGCGCCAC
rnacentral:rRNA from 1 species